UACAGAGGUCCCAAGCGUUGUUCGGAUUCACUGGGCGUAAAGGGUGCGUAGGUGGUUAGGUAAGUCUGUUGUGAAAUCUCUGGGCUCAACCCAGAAACUGCAUUGGAUACUAUCUAGCUAGAGGAGUGGAGGGGGGACUGGAAUACUUGGUGUAGCAGUGAAAUGCGUAGAUAUCAAGUGGAACACCAGUGGCGAAGGCGAGUCCCUGGACACUUCCUGACACUGAGGCACGAAAGCUAGGGGAGCAAACAGG
rnacentral:rRNA from 1 species